GAUGAACGCUGGCGGCGUGCUUAACACAUGCAAGUCGAACGAUGCAGCCUAGCUUGCUGGGCGGAUUAGUGGCGAACGGGUGAGUAACACGUGAGUAACCUGACCUUAACUCUGGGAUAAGCCUGGGAAACUGGGUCUAAUACCGGAUCGGAGCGCCUACCGCAUGGUGGGUGUUGGAAAGUUGUAGCCGUAUUGGAUGGACUGGCGGCCUGUCAGCUUGUUGGUGUGGUAAUGGCUCACCGCGGCAACGCCGGGUAGCCGACCUGGGAGGGUGGCCGGCCUCAAGAGGCCUGAGGCACGGCGCAGACUGGAAUGGGAGGCAGCGGUGGCGAGUAUUACACAGGGAGCGAGAGUGUGAUGCGGAGGCGCUAGGUGAGGAAUGACGGCCUGCGGGUUGUGAACCUCAUUCAGUUGAGAAGAAGCGAUAGUGACGGUACCUGCAGAAGAAGCACCGGCUAACUACGUG
rnacentral:rRNA from 1 species